rnacentral:tRNA from 1 species
GCCGACGUAGCUCAGCGGCAGAGCGAUGCUUUCGUAAAGCAUAGGUCCUGGGUUCAAUCCCCAGCGUCGGCU